rnacentral:rRNA from 1 species
GACGAACGCUGGCGGCGUGCUUAACACAUGCAAGUCGAACGGAAAGGCCCUGCUUUUGUGGGGUGCUCGAGUGGCGAACGGGUGAGUAACACGUGAGUAACCUGCCCUUGACUUUGGGAUAACUUCAGGAAACUGGGGCUAAUACCGGAUAGGAGCUCCUGCUGCAUGGGGGGGGUUGGAAAGUUUCGGCGGUUGGGGAUGGACUCGCGGCUUAUCAGCUUGUUGGUGGGGUAGUGGCUUACCAAGGCUUUGACGGGUAGCCGGCCUGAGAGGGUGACCGGCCACAUUGGGACUGAGAUACGGCCCAGACUCCUACGGGAGGCAGCAGUGGGGAAUAUUGCACAAUGGGCGGAAGCCUAAUGCAGCAACGCCGCGUGCGGGAUGACGGCCUUCGGGUUGUAAACCGCUUUCGCCUGUGACGAAGCGUGAGUGACGGUAAUGGGUAAAGAAGCACCGGCUAACUACGUG